AAUGAACGCUGGCGGCGUGGAUUAGGCAUGCAAGUCGAACGCGAAAGUUCCCUUCGGGGAGCGAGUAGAGUGGCGAAAGGGUGAGUAAUGCUUGGAUGACCUGCCCUCGAGACGGGGACAACAGCUCGAAAGGACUGCUAAUACCCGAUAGUCCGGUUUAGAUGCGUCUAGAUCGGUAAAUGGUGCUUCCGCUCGAGGAGGGGUUCAAGUCCUAUCAGCUUGUUGGUGAGGUAACGGCUCACCAAGGCGAUGACGGGUAGCCGGACUGAGAGGUUGGCCGGCCACAUGGGAACUGAGACACUGUCCUGACUCCUACGGGAGGCUGCAGUCGAGAAUCUUCUGCAAUGGGCGAAAGACCUGACAGAGCGACGCCGCGUGGAGGA
rnacentral:rRNA from 1 species